rnacentral:miRNA from 1 species
CGAGACGAAGAUAUGGGUGAC